rnacentral:rRNA from 1 species
UACGAAGGGGGCUAGCGUUGCUCGGAAUCACUGGGCGUAAAGGGUGCGUAGGCGGGUCUUUAAGUCAGGGGUGAAAUCCUGGAGCUCAACUCCAGAACUGCCUUUGAUACUGAGGAUCUUGAGUCCGGGAGAGGUGAGUGGAACUGCGAGUGUAGAGGUGAAAUUCGUAGAUAUUCGCAAGACCACCAGUGGCUAAGGCGGCUCACUGGCCCGGUACUGACGCUGAGGCACGAAAGCGUGGGGAGCAAACAGG